rnacentral:lncRNA from 1 species
UCUAUUUAGUCCGUCUCGCCCGAAAAAAAAUCAACGAGAAGAGUUCAUCGUGUUUUACGAUGCGGAGGCGCCGCCACCUCCUGUUCUUCAUCUGGAGGGCAGAUCUGGAGUCCGUUUUGGGCUCCGGAGAGGGGAAAUUGUUGCCAUCGUCAUCAUCAACCUUCCUUCAUCGCCAAUUCCAUGAUGCUAUUCACCGUCCGUGAGUAAUAUCAUCGUAGGGUUGCUGGACGGUGAUGGGUUGGUUGAGAUCUAUCAUGUAAUUGAGUUAGUUUUGACGGGGAUUGAUCCCUAGUAUCCACUAUGUUCUGAGAUUGAUGUUGCUACUACUUUGCCAUGCUUAAUGCUUGUCAUUAGGGCCCGAGUGCCAUGAUUUCAGAUAUGAACCUAUUAUGUUGUCGCCAAUAUAUGUGUGUUCU